rnacentral:rRNA from 1 species
UACGGGGGGAGCAAGCGUUGUUCGGAUUUACUGGGCGUAAAGGGCGCGUAGGCGGCCACCGCAAGUCGGUUGUGAAAUCUCUGGGCUUAACCCAGAAAGGUCAACCGAUACUGCGGGGCUAGAGUGCAGAAGGGGCAAUCGGAAUUCUUGGUGUAGCGGUGAAAUGCGUAGAUAUCAAGAGGAACACCUGAGGUGAAGACGGGUUGCUGGGCUGACACUGACGCUGAGGCGCGAAAGCCAGGGGAGCAAACGGG